rnacentral:rRNA from 1 species
GCCUGGAAAUAAACAUUACUUGCCAAAAGAGUACGAGCACCACCUCAAAACUUAAAAGACCUGGCGGUGUCCAAAAUCAACCUAGAGGAGCUUGUUAUAUAAUCGAUAAUCCACGUUAAACCUUACCUCCUCUGGCAAAUCCAGCCUAUAUACCGCCGUCGACAGCCCAUUUUUCAAAAAAUAGAGCAACUAAGACCCCCCCUAAAACGACAGGCCAAGGCGUAGCUUAUGAGAAGGACAACAAUGGGCUACACUACUAAACAUAACAAAAGCUUCACUGAAAUACAGUCGCACGAAGAAGAAUUUAGCAGUAAGAAGAAUUAGAGCGUUCUACUGAACCAGGACAUUGGACACGC